GAUGAACGCUAGCUACAGGCUUAACACAUGCAAGUCGAGGGGCAGCAUGGUCUUAGCUUGCUAAGGCUGAUGGCGACCGGCGCACGGGUGAGUAACACGUAUCCAACCUGCCGUCUACUCUUGGCCAGCCUUCUGAAAGGAAGAUUAAUCCAGGAUGGGAUCAUGAGUUCACAUGUCCGCAUGAUUAAAGGUAUUUUCCGGUUAGACGAUGGGG
rnacentral:rRNA from 1 species